rnacentral:rRNA from 1 species
CAGCAGCCACGGGAAUACGGAGGAUCCAAGCGUUAUCCGGAAUCAUUGGGUUUAAAGGGUCCGUAGGCGGUUUUAUAAGUCAGUGGUGAAAUCCGGCAGCUCAACUGUCGAACUGCCAUUGAUACUGUAGAACUUGAAUUAUUGUGAAGUAACUAGAAUAUGUAGUGUAGCGGUGAAAUGCUUAGAUAUUACAUGGAAUACCCAUUGCGAAGGCAGGUUACUAACAAUAUAUUGACGCUGAUGGACGAAAGCGUGGGGAGCGAACAGGAUUAGAUACCCCCGUAGUCCCUGUCUCUUAUAC